rnacentral:rRNA from 1 species
GAUGAACGCUAGCGGGAGGCCUAACACAUGCAAGCCGAGCGGUAUUGUUUCUUCUGAGAUGAGAGAGCGGCGUACGGGUGCGUAACACGUGUGCAACCUGCCUUUAUCUGGGGGAUAGCCUUUCGAAAGGAAGAUUAAUACUCCAUAAUAUAUUGAACGGCAUCGUUUAAUAUUGAAAGCUCCGGCGGGUAGGGAUGGGCACGCGCAAGAUUAGCUAGUUGGUGAGGUAACGGCUCACCAAGGCGAUGAUCUUUAGGGGGCCUGAGAGGGUGAUCCCCCACACUGGUACUGAGACACGGACCAGACUCCUACGGGAGGCAGCAGUGAGGAAGAUUGGGCAGUGGGUGCAAGCCUGAACCAGCCAUCCCGCGUGAAGGACGACUGCACUAUGGGUUGUAAACUUCUUUUGUAUAGGGAUAAACCUACGCUCGGGAGAGUAGCUGAAGGUACUAGACGAAUAAGCACCGGCUAACUCCGUG